UGCCCAAUGAUAAAUUAUUUAAUGGCCGCAGUAUUUUGACUGUGCAAAGGUAGCAUAAUCAUUUGUCUUUUAAUUGAAGGCUAGUAUGAAAGGUUGGAUGAGAAGUUUACUUUCUUUAUAUUAAUGUGUUGAAUUUAAUUUUUUAGUUAAAAAGCUAAAAUGUUUAAAAGGGACGAGAAGACCCUAUAGAAUUUUAUUAAUAUGUUAUAUUUUUAUUUUAUGGUAUUUUUAUUAUUUAUAUAUUGUUUAAUUUUGUUGGGGCGAUGGGAAGAUUUAUUUASCUCUUCUAUUUUAUAGUUUAYUAAUUGGUAUGUUUUAUGAUCCUCUUUUAUGGAAARUUAGAUUAAWUUUCSUYSGGSAUWWCAGCGUGAYUUUCWUGGARAGUUCUUAUUGAUAAAGGAGUCUGCGAC
rnacentral:rRNA from 1 species